UCCGCAGGCGGGCAAUUAAGUCAGGGGUGAGAUGGUACGGCUCAACCGUAGCACUGCCCUUGAUACUGGUUGUCUUGAGUCAUAGUGAAGUGGCCGGAAUAUGUAGUGUAGCGGUGAAAUGCAUAGAUAUUACAUAGAACACCGAUUGCGAAGGCAGGUCACUAACUAUCGACUGACGCUGAUGGACGAAAGCGUGGGGAGCGAACAGGAUUAGAUACCCUGGUAGUCC
rnacentral:rRNA from 1 species